GGAUGACUCGCCGUAUGGAACCACUGGCAAAGAAGAUCUUUAAAGGAAUUUUAGUAGCUGAACUUGUGGGCCUUUUUGGAGCAUAUUUUUUGUUUACUAAGAUGAACACAAGCCAAGAUUUCAGGCAAACAAUGAGCAAGAAAUUUCCCUUCAUCUUGGAAGUUUAUUACAGAUCCAUCGAACAGUCUGGAAUGUAUGGAAUCAGAGUGCGAGAUCAAGAAAAAUGGUUGAACAGCAAAAAUUAGA